rnacentral:misc_RNA from 1 species
GUGACCUGCGGAGGAUCAUUAGUGAAUUGAAUAUGUUAGCGGACCUCUUCGGAGUCCCUAGCAUCAAAUCAUAUCCAUAACACCUGUGAACUGUAAGGCUGUCUUGAAAACGAAAGUGAUUAGAGCGCCUGCCCAUUUUAUACAAACAUUAAAGUAACAAACGUAGUCUUAUUAUAAUCUAAUAAAACUUUCAACAACGGAUCUCUUGGCUCUCGCAUCGAUGAAGAACGCAGCGAAAUGCGAUAAGUAAUGUGAAUUGCAGAAUUCAGUGAAUCAUCGAAUCUUUGAACGCACCUUGCGCUCUUUGGUAUUCCGAAGAGCAUGCCUGUUUGAGUGUCAUGAAAAUAUCAACCUUGACUUGGGUUUAGUGCUCUUGUCUUGGCUUGGAUUUGGCUGUUUGCCGCUCGAAAGAGUCGGCUCAGCUUAAAAGUAUUAGCUGUAUCUGUCUUUGAGACUUGGUUUGACUUGGCGUAAUAAGUUAUUUCGCUGAGGACAAUCUUCGGAUUGGCCGAGUUUCUGGGACGUUUGUCCGCUUUCUAACACAAGUUCUAGCUUGCUAGACAUGACUUUUUUAUUAUCUGGCCUCAAAUCAGGUAGGACUACCCGCUGAACUUAA